ensembl:lncRNA
CACAUACACACAAGGGAACACAAGACAAGGCACUGAAAGUAGUUCAACCAGUGCAAUUGAAAGACACUUUUCUGUUUAAUCGUAUUUAUAAACAGCUUGAAAACAUUUGGUUGGCAGAAAGCAAGAGAGCCGAAUGGAGAGAAUCCGAUAGAAUACAGGAAGAUAGAGAGAUAUACUGUGUUUGCUUGCGUCUGUAUGUGAGGAGGGGGGGCGGGGAGUGACAGGAAUGAGUCAAAGUAAGAAGUUGCGAGGACGACUGACCAGGAGGAUGGAUGGAGGACAGAGGGGGGGUCAGCGUUAGGGUUAGGCUUAGGGUCAUGGUUAGGGUUAGGGGAAAAAAGAGUCAGGGUUAGGGGUUAGGGGUUUUGGGUCAAGAUAAGGGGUUAGGAUUUGGGGUUAGGGUCAGGGUUAGGGUUAAGUUCAGGGUUCAGGGUUUAGGGUUAAGGUUAGGGUCAGGGUUAGGGUUAGGGUUAAGGUUAGGGGUUAGGGGUUAGGGUCAGGGUUAGGGUGGGGGUUAGGGUCAGGGAUAGGGCCAGGGGGGAUAGGGUUGGGGUUAGGGUUAGUCAAACAGUGCACAGUUUGUCUGGGGUGAGUCAGUGAAAGGGAAAGAAAUAUAAAAGGAAAGAAAGAAAAAGAGAAACAAUGUCAAUAAAGAAGAGAGGCAGCCCCGCUCUGCACCACAGUGAGGACAUUUCUCCCGUGUUAGUUUUUUUUUCUGCCUUUUUUGUUUCAUUUGAAUUACAAAAGCCCCCCCCCCACAAGAACAACAGGUCCCGAGUCAAAGAGCAUCACCCCGGUGUGCAGGGGUUAGGGUUAGGGUUAGGGGUUAGGGUCUGCAGGGGUGGUCGGCGGCCCCCGGGCUACAGACCACCGCAUGAGAUCCCGGCCGCUGCAUGGAGUACAGACCACCUCAUGAGUUGGUCUGUCUGGAGUACAGACCACCUCAUGAGUUGGUCUGUCUGGAGUACAGACCACCUCAUGAGGUCCUGGCCGCUGCAUGGAGUACAGACCACCUCAUGAGGUCCUGGCCGCUGCAUGGAGUACAGACCACCUCAUGAGUUGGUCUGUCUGGAGUACAGACCACCUCAUGAGUUGGUCUGUCUGGAGUACAGACCACCUCAUGAGGUCCAGGCCACUGCAUGGAGUACAGACCCAACUUUGUGUUUGUAUAAAUACAUUUCUACAUUGAGUUGCUUCAAGUCAAGUCGUGAUCAUAGUUUUUAAAUAUAUAUAAUAUUCAUACAGAUAUAUAGUUAUAUCUAGAUCUAUAUUAUUAUCUUAUAUAGAUAUAUUUAGAUAUAUUAUCUUAU